AAGCUGCUAUGGGGUGGUCCUCCAUUAUGCCACAAUAGGAAAUGAAUGCACUAGUCCUCAUUUCUGUCAAUAACCCUGUGGAUAUUGCUGAUCUCCAUCAAAUCUGAGGGGUUUUGCUUAACAAUGCUUUACUCUGCUCCACUGGUUAGAUACAAUACUGUCUGCUUCUAACAAAUUGCCACCAUUUAUCAGCAAUUAACGCCGGCCUAAAAUGGAAGGGAAAGAAACCUCCAAGGAUCAGAGAGGAGAAUUUCACUUUCUGACCUUCCAAUCUGUGCUUAAAAGCACCAUUAAGAAAAUAAAAAUCAAGCCUCACAUUGAGAGGAAAUGUUUCCAUAUCUACAGGAUGGCCUUCAAAGCUUUGCCCAGUGAGUCACAUGCUCCUGAGUUAGUAGCCCAGGGUGGUCUACUUUUUGGUGUCCCUCAGCUGUCAUGCAAGUGGACCACGUCAGCUGAGACUCCAUCUGCCUUGGGCAACUUUCUGAACCUUGAGGAUCAGCUCACAGUGGAUCCAACACUUCUUAUUUCCCUUCCUACCCAUCUAUAAUUAAUAAACCUGCUUUAAAUAACU